rnacentral:lncRNA from 1 species
GUUUCAACUUAUCCAAUGAAGGAUAAACAGUCUAAUUCUUUAGUUUAUUCCGAGCAAUUUGAGAGCGAAUAUAGAAUCAAUUAGGGAUCGUUUUUUGAAGUAUCGAGUGAUUUUAUACAGUUUUUGGCAUCGUUGAGUUCUAUCAAAGGGAUUAUAUGCAAGAUGUCAGAUCGCAUGCGCUAUACACCUCCCUACUUUGAAUCUUACGAUGAUAUUUCGUUCAAUAUGGAAAUACCUGGGGGUAGCUCUCGCUCUCGUUGUACAACUCCUUCCCGUUUGGAUCCCAGACUCACAGUUUCACGACCAAGUAGAGCUACUUCAAUUCAACCAGAUGAAUUUCGUCCAAUUCGACGGUCACGCCAAUCCACUCCAGAAGAAGAGGCAUAUAACCACCGUAAACUACACUCAACCCCCAAAAUACCAUCAUAUACGGAAGCACUUGUAUCGUCUUCCCGAAAACAUAGGGCUAGAGCAAUGAGUCCACCAAUUCUAAUUGACGAUCCUGAACCAAGAGUUCUAAUUCGUCAUAGAGGUAUUUCUGUUGAUAGAAAGCCCCUUUGCCAAAACCAAGCAUUAUUGCAACCGACUACUAUCGCAAGAGCAUGCGAACUAUAUUUGAUCGUCAGCCCCUUUUCCAAGACUUUUUACAGGACAGCCCAGAAGAUAAGUCCUUGGGGAUUUACAAUUUAACGGAUAUAUAUCGAAUGAAGUCAAACUUUAGGGGAAUGCUCUCCGAUAAAUAUAAGAGAAUGACUUAUAAUGAUCCAGCGGUUGAGCGCGACAUUGGAAGGAAAUUGCUACCUUGGAGGGAUCAUUUAAAAAGAGAGGAGCCCGCUUCUAAAAGGAUUGUACAAGAUCACGCUCAUCAACGAAGUAGAGUAUCUCUGUCUCCAGUUCCACGACUUACAGUCUAUCAUAGAUCAACUAAUCCUAGAUCAUAUUAAUUUACAACAAUUUAUAGCGUAACACGUGAAAUGACAUGACAUUUCUUUACAAAGGAACCCUUCAAUCAACCGGAUGUCCACAAAUCUUAUAAGAUGUACAUAUAACAAUUUUUAAUUCAAAGACAAUGCUUGAAAUAUACAUACAUAAUAUAA